UACGUAGGGGGCAAGCGUUGUCCGGAAUCAUUGGGCGUAAAGCGCGUGUAGGCGGCCAGAUAAGUCCGCUGUGAAAACUCGAGGCUCAACUUCGAGCUGUCGGUGGAAACUUUCUGGCUAGAGUCCGGAAGAGGAGAAUGGAAUUCCUGGUGUAGCGGUGAAAUGCGCAGAUAUCAGGAAGAACACCCGUGGCGAAGGCGGUUCUCUGGGACGGUACUGACGCUGAGACGCGAAAGCGUGGGGAGCGAACAGG
rnacentral:rRNA from 1 species